rnacentral:rRNA from 1 species
AUUGAACGCUGGCGGCAUGCUUUACACAUGCAAGUCGAACGGCAGCGCGGGCUUCGGCCUGGCGGCGAGUGGCGAACGGGUGAGUAAUGCAUCGGAACGUGCCCAGUAGUGGGGGAUAGCCCGGCGAAAGCCGGAUUAAUACCGCAUACGACCUGAGGGUGAAAGCGGGGGACCGAAAGGCCUCGCGCUAUUGGAGCGGCCGAUGUCGGAUUAGCUAGUUGGUGGGGUAAAGGCUUACCAAGGCGACGAUCCGUAGCUGGUCUGAGAGGACGACCAGCCACACUGGGACUGAGACACGGCCCAGACUCCUACGGGAGGCAGCAGUGGGGAAUUUUGGACAAUGGGGGCAACCCUGAUCCAGCCAUGCCGCGUGCGGGAAGAAGGCCUUCGGGUUGUAAACCGCUUUUGUUCGGGAAGAAAUCCUCUGGGCUAAUACCCCGGGGGGAUGACGGU